UACGGAGGGUGCGAGCGUUGUCCGGAAUUAUUGGGCGUAAAGGGCUCGUAGGCGGUUUGUCGCGUCUGCUGUGAAAACUCAGGGCUUAACUCUGAGCUUGCAGUGGGUACGGGCAGACUAGAGUGCGGUAGGGGAGACUGGAAUUCCUGGUGUAGCGGUGAAAUGCGCAGAUAUCAGGAGGAACACCGGUGGCGAAGGCGGGUCUCUGGGCCGUAACUGACGCUGAGGAGCGAAAGCAUGGGGAGCGAACAGG
rnacentral:rRNA from 1 species